ensembl:lncRNA
CGCGUAAUUAAGUUUAGGUUUAUUUAAUCAUAUGUACGAUUGGAUACCCAACUGAAACCCGAGCUACGUUUUCUGGAUGUUGUGUUCUAGAAUCAUUAUCCCAGUUAAAAAUCAAGUAUAAACAGACAGCUGUCAAACACAAAGUACUGGCAUUUUGCCAAACAUCGUGAAGUGUUCUUCAGAAUGUCCCUGCCACCUCACCACCUACCUUUGUUCCACCCCUGGAAGAUCCAGCCCACCCUGGAUGCCAUGGUAUCAGCACUGUGGCAAUGUCUCUGCCCUGGUCAAAACAUAGUAUCAAACCAUGACCUUGGACCAAUCUUCGGCAAUCUUUGGCAUCCGGAGUUUGCAACCAUGCCCCUCUAUACUAACUACUUCGACCCGGUCACUGACCACCUGCCAAAGAAAUUCCCAUUGGCACAUAAGCUGAACUACAACCUGAAGCUGAAGUGCUUCAACUCCUGGGCAGACGUGGACAGAGAGAGGGAAAGAGGGAAAAAGAGAAAAUGCCACGUCCCCUCUUAUGGAGGACCUCGAAUCAGUGGUGCCUGUCUGUCUCGACUUACUAGGAACGGAGACUCAAGCGAGAGUAGAGGAACCCCCACCAACAGUCAGUUUAUCUAUCAGAUGUAUGGCUACCACUGCAGAUAAACCUGGAUGGUAGCUAGUGUGGGUCUUGUUCUGUCAUUUGUUCAGAAG